CUCUAACACUCCUACGGGAGGCAGCAGUGGGGAAUAUUGCACAAUGGGCGCAAGCCUGAUGCAGCCAUGCCGCGUGUGUGAAGAAGGCCUUCGGGUUGUAAAGCACUUUCAGUCGUGAGGAAGGUAGUGUAGUUAAUAGCUGCAUUAUUUGACGUUAGCGACAGAAGAAGCACCGGCUAACUCCGUGCCAGCAGCCGCGGUAAUACGGAGGGUGCGAGCGUUAAUCGGAAUUACUGGGCGUAAAGCGCAUGCAGGUGGUUUGUUAAGUCAGAUGUGAAAGCCCGGGGCUCAACCUCGGAAUUGCAUUUGAAACUGGCAGACUAGAGUACUGUAGAGGGGGUAGAAUUUCAGGUGUAGCGGUGAAAUGCGUAGAGAUCUGAAGGAAUACCGGUGGCGAAGGCGGCCCCCUGGACAGAUACUGACACUCAGAUGCGAAAGCGUGGGGAGCAAACAGGAUUAGAUACCCUGGUAG
rnacentral:rRNA from 1 species